UACUCGACUGUAUGGUGAAAUCUAGAUUACAAUUUGCCUUUACUUCCUGAAAUCACACAGAUAAAUGCUCCAGUAGUUAACUACGUUGGAUUUGCAGUAAGUGUUUUGGUCUGCUAUCAGAUUCUGUUAGGUGGCACAUAGAUUCCUGCCUUGCAGCUAGCAUCAUUUCAGGAGGUAUCUUGAAAGAUUUCGGGCUCUUCCAAUUAUGGCUUUGCUUUUCUCUCACAGCAAUUAAAGUCCCUUCCUUUAAUUUCAAUGGAAACUGUAGUGUUUUAGACCUUGCCCAUGCAGCUGAAUGCUCAUCUCUGGAUCUUAUUUCCAGCCCUCAUAAGGCCUGGGUUUGAUGACCUAGUCUGAUUACAGGAUCUUUGACAGCUUUAAAGGAAUUUGCACAAAGGAAGGAGACAGCUGCUGUUCUGAUGAAGGAUUUUUCUGAGCAGGCCUCCCAAGCUAGACGUGCCACUAUGAGAUGCUGCCUACGCUUUUCAUCAUGAGCAACAGGUGACUAAUCUGCAAUCAGAAACACUUAGCAGGAAUGGAUCAGUCGCUGUUAUGAAGUUUGAGCUUAUAGCAUUUUUUCAUGCUGGAAUGCGAGGGCUAAGAAUGUGUUGACACAGUGCAAUUGAGGACUUCCAGACACAGUGAAAUCCUUGCAAGAGACAUCAGAGAGUGGAUUGGCAGAGUUUUAGAAGCCUGGCAGCUGUUAGCCUGCUGCAGCAUGAGGAAGAGUCUUCAGUCUCUCCAAUGUACAGGAAAGAGAAGACGAAUUGUAGUAAAUGUCCACCUUCGAUACUGAGGAAAAGGCCACCCGUGAACCAAGCUGUGAGCGAAAAGCGAAAAGCAGAGAGAAGGGUUCGAUUUCGUGAGCCAGAGAUCACUGGAUAUGACAUUUCCUGCUGGGACUACAGAGUUGCACAUGACAGGCCAUCAGCUGGAUUGCCUUUGCUCCUGUGGAUUUCGCUUUGUUUAGUGCUGAUCCUGGCUGUGAGUCUGUACUACAGCAGCGUGAAGCAGAAUUUCCAAGUCUUGGAAGAAUUUCAAUCCCAGCUCGUUAUCUUCUUUCUUCAGAUAAGACGCGUUGCUUUGAAAUGCUGGACUUGGUUUAUGAGGCAAUAACAGUGUCACACGUGUGGAAUUGUGCAUGGCCAAGACAAAGAUCUUAGCAGAUAACAUCUAAACGUAUAUUGCAGCACAAGGCUCACAGCCCACUCAAACCAAACACCAGAGAAUGCGCCAGCCUUCCCUUUGAAGACUAAUAGAGCUGACCCUGUUGUACAUUUACCUUUUCCUGUAGCCACUUGUUUUCCAUUUCUUUUAUUAUUAUUGUAUAUAUUACACUAACACCUAGAGGUUGCAACCAAAAUCAGAGCUCCAUUGUCCUAGGCAAUACAUAAAUAUCUGAUAAGAGAUAGUCCCUGCCUCAGAGAGCUUAUAAACUGAAGAAACAAGAAAAAGCAAAGGGACAGAAACACAGAGAUUAAUUGAUUCAAUCAAGGUCACAUAGGUAGAUAAUACCAGGAACUAAACCCAGGUCAAUCAAGUCUCAGGUCAGUAGCUUAAUCACAAGACCAUCAUUCCACUCUGGUUUUGCUACUGCAAUGUGUGCAAGUAUUACUUCUUGUGUUUGAGGGCUCUGCAAUGCUGUAUUUUACACAUAUGUGAAAUGAUUGGGAGUAAAACCUUGGCAGAUGGUGUUCUCAUUUCCCCUCAAGCUUUCUCCUAUGUGGGCAAAAGAUAGCUCUUGGAAACGUUUCACCGGGCUCCCAGGCAUGGAAGAGAGAAUGGAAACUCAUUUAAACAGGCUAUGGUUAUUUGCUUAAUAUCACACAUAACAGAAUUGAAUCCCAGGUUAAUUAUCAAGUCAGUAGUUUAAUCCUAUGAGUUUGAUUCAGUCCGUAAACCUCAUGAGCCAAGUUUACAUGGUUUGUGACAUCAACAAACUUUUUCAAUUUACUUAUAGCUUGUAUUCAGUCAGGGGGCCAUGUAUUCAUUCCAUGCAUGCUCAACUAUAGUUUAAGGCUUUGCAUAAUGCUACAGUUGAGUGUUUAUGAAGGUAGCAAGGAUAAAGCUCCAUUGUUUUGGGAGGCCCCCCCAUUAAUAUCCUACAGUAAAGAUAUUUCUGAAGGGGAUCAUUUUAACAAUGAUAGUGCAAUAAAUGCUGAAUGCCUCUUGUAUGUGUCAAAGUGGACCCCAAUGUGUCUAUCCAAGUGUGUCUCAGAGAGGGCCAACAAAUUAAUCUGGCCUAUGAGCACUAGCUUCCUGGACUUUAUUUUCUCCAUAGGCAUAAAUAGCAACAUCCUUUUUUGCCUGGCCUUCUUUUCAAGUAAAAUUAAAAGAAAAUAUUUUGACAAGUGCCCUACUGUAUUCAGAAAGAUAAAGACUACCUGAGAAUCUGCAACAGCAGAAAAAACCCUGUGAAGAAGAUGGAAGACAAUGCUUGCAAGAUCCCAAAGUCCCCUGUCAUGACAACCAACAAAACACUGUGCAUAUUAUUGUUGACGGAUAAAGAAUAUUCCAUAUGGUAUUGAGGGGCAACAGCACAUCAUCUUCCAGGCAACUUAAAGUAGGCAAAGAAUUAAAUAGGAACAGGGAGAAGCAAUCUUUUCUCCUAAGGAAUGUAUGCCUCGUCUCAAUUGAAAAUGGAUGAAACCAACUACGGUAUUGAGCCUCAAAAGCAGAAAGAGGGGACUUCAGCAGCUAAUCUGAUGCUCACCAUAGGCUGUGACAGGCCCAUGGGCAAUUGCAUCAGACAAGCUGCCAAUUUGGGGGUCAAAGGAUGUUCACAUAGGUGUAUUCAUCCCUGUGACUUUUUACACAAACCAAUUGUGUGGUUCAGUCUAAUGGGAGUAAGUUGUACCAUCGCCUUGCUCCCCGUUUCCUUUUUUUAAGUAAUAAGGUGAGAGAUUUAUAACUUUUAUGUGAGUGACUCAUUAAAACAUUUCUUGAGAAAGGUUAGGAAAUGGUAUAUUAGUGAGAUGAGCACUAACCUUCAACCCCUCCCUCUGUCUACACAGAUGUGACUGAUCCCUGUUUAGCUCACCUUUUCUGGAGCUGAAUUGUAAUUUCUGGAAGAGGCACACUGAAAACAGGGAGCUUGUUUUGAAAGGGCAGUUUGUUCAGCAAGAGCCAUGGCGUAGUACUGCAGGAAAUACAUACAGCAACUUCAAUGGUCUGGGAGGGGACGUGCUAGCUUGUACCACCCUGAUAUGCUAAUGUAAUGCUUUACACUUUAAACAAAUGUUAAGAAGAUAAAAUGGCAACUCCAGAAUAAGGAUUGGAAAAGACAAGAAGCAGGGAUGAAAUCCACAUUUAAUAGCAUGCUAUUUACAAGAAGGAAACCGCCUUUAAAACUGGUCUAAAAAUGUUUGAGGUCAGUUAUACAUAACAGAUUAUCUCAGUCUCAAACAAAUUGUAUUCAGUAUGUAUUUUAGGCCUUUGAAAUUAUUUAAACCUAAUCCACUUCCUGUGAGGGAAGUGGUAUUAUCCUCAUUUUACAGCAGAAGUCUCAGAUAAACCUAAUGACCUGCCCAAGUUAAGACAGCAAGUCAGUAACAGAGCCAGGAAUCUCUGAUCCCACAACUCCUUGCUCCCAAAUCUCCUGACCACAAAUCUCCUGGAAUAUUUGAACCUCUGAAAGUUAGACAGGUCAUUAACUUGGGCACCCAAAUCUCUUGGUUAACCACUAGACCAUACUUCCCCUCUGCUGUUAUCCCUUCUAUUUUCUCCUCACACAUAAGCUGAUGCCCAAUCCAUUCAUUCCCUCAGACAUUCUCUCACACACACACAUUGUCUGACUCACUUGUUUAUUCUCUUACUAUUCUUUAUUCAUCACCAGAUGUACUUGCACCAUUGUUAACUGGACUGGAAUCUUCGUUGUUAAUGUUAGAUGGAUUGGUGUCAAAAGGUGAAGAGUAACAGGACAUAAAAUCAGAAAAGCAAAAAGGUGCCAGGCAGUCACAGGACAAAGGUCAUGAUGGGUUGUAUUCUUCUUGAGGAUUGUAACAAAAUACGUGAUUUAUUAGAAAUUGUCAAAACUUUUCAUAUUAAUUUAAUUCCUUGUGAGAACUUGCUGAGAUUGCAUGAAGUCAGCAAUGUAACCAAUAGACCAAUAUGGUUCGCGAGAUAAAUCAGGGGUUCCCAAUAUUUUUCAUAGUUAGGACCACGUUAGUAGACAGAUUGGGUAGCAGGCUUUCUGUCUGCAACUGUAUGAACUGUCUCAUCUCCCCUUGAUGAGUGCAUAUCCCUUAUGUCACUACUAUAGCAGUUGCUUACCUGGAAACAUAAUACUAGGAGAACACCUAUGGAUUGUGACCUCGGGAGUAUCUGAAGGAAUGAGAUGAGACCACAUAGUCUAAAAAUCCAACAAACUUUUGAUGCAUCACAAGCCGUAACACAGCAAUGUCUACCCCCUGUAGAGCUGGUAACAGGCAACCCCACCCACCAAACAAACAUUUAGUUUUAAUCCUGUUCUCUCAGCUUUCUCUUUCAAACCACACCCACUUGCAGCCCAGCUAAUGGGAGACAGGCAGCCCAUUACAGUCAUUUUAGUUGUCAUUUAAUGCCAUGUUAGCACUUGGAAAGAGAUGCCAGCACCAUGCGAGAGGACAGCUCUCUCAGAAGAAUUAUCAAGUGUUCUGUGAAUAACAGUUGAGGAACCUCUGAGGUAAAUAACAAGCAUUCUUUAAAUGGACUAGUUCCUUACUAAUUCACUAUCCCAGAAUAGCCCUGGCUCUCAGCAACCAUUGAACACACCAUGCAGGGCAGCAUACCCAUUUAUUUACUUUAUUUAUGCCGCAAAGAGAAAAUCAACUUGUCGUGGUUCAGAUUCUGGGCCUGCCUCAAGCAGGAAGGUGAUACCACUAUGAUACUUAGUAAGUGGUUGGUCCUCCAUGGUAUAUAGAAAUCACAGCAUCCUUUCCUCAUCAGCUACACUUACAGGGCACCCAUGACUGGAUUGGAACUGAAAGGACCCACGGUUGGUGGACUGAAUCCUGGAUGCUGCUGUUUUUUAAUGAUAGCCCCCCACCACUGGACGUGGCAUUUCUACCUCAGCUAUAUGACUGGGAUGCAAGUUUUUCUCAGCUGAAAUGGGUCCCGGUGAAAGAUCAGGUAAUGCAGUUUGCAAAGGCUUCCAACAGUUUGUAGGGGGGAAUGAAAAUACUCUCAUAGGUCAGGAAGGCUAACAGGAGUCACCAGCAGUAAUACUGAAGCUUCGCAAUGAGGACAGGGAGCCAGACAGUGGAAAUGACACAUACAGAAUGAGUACAAUAUUAGCAAUAGGAAUCUAAAACAUGUACUGCUAGCAAGGAUCAUGUUGUCCUUAUCAGACAGGCAGAUUACACAGAUAGGCUGCAAACACUGCAGGCCAGAAUCUCAGCUACUAUAAACUAGGAUCUCUCUUUUGACUCUUGGAGCUCACUAGCUGAGAAUAAGGCCCUACAGUAAAAUUAUUCCAGUAGAAGUUCAAAAGACAGGCAUGAAAAGACUGAAUUUUCAAAUAAUUUAUUUGUGUAUAGCACUAAAUCAUAAAAGCGCAAUGCACGGUCCAGCAAAAAGCAUUCAAUAUAAAAACACGUUCAUUCAAUAUCAAUAAUACUGGAGCACAUUAGUUACACUGAACCCAAUCCUGCUCCCCUCACAGCCAGUGCAAAUUUUGCCAGUGAUUUCGCUGGCAGAAGGAUCAGGCUCAUUCUUUCCAUUUUGCCAAAUGUUUAUAAAGUAUUCUAUUAAAAUGCUAGUAACUGAUUUUCCAUAUGUAAGUAAACUGCAUCCCUUUCACUACUGCAUAAAAACAAUAAUGAACAUUAUUCAGACUCUGCGGUUCUGUGAAAUUGCAUGCAGUUUAUCCCCCAAAUCAGCAGUUAAUAAACACAGCAAUAGAUAGCAUAACGCAUGAGUGCUAAUAUUUAAAAUACACUGGGCCAUAUCCUCAGUUGAUGUAAACAGGCAUGGCUCCAAUGAUGUACAUGGAGCUAUGCCACAUACCCCAGUUAAGGAUCUGGCCCGCUCUUGGUUUUAGAGAUUAAAAGAAUUAUGAAAACUGUUAAAAUUGUGUCCUAAAGAAUCUAUUGCACAGACCUCUGUAGCAGGAAAAAAUAAUGUUCAUCUAGGCUCUCAUAAAGCUUUCUCCAAGUGGAUACAAGAAAAGAAGAGACAAUAGUUCACAAAUAUGUAAAUCACAGGACAUCUAUUUAGAAGAGGUUCAGAUGCAUUCAGGCUUUGCAUUAAACGAAAAGUAAAGGUACACUUUCAAUCUCUGCAGGCAGUAACAUACUAAAGACACAGCCUUUAAAUCUACAAUGACCUUGUUAACGUUCUCCCUUUAAUAAUGGCAAAUUUGCAGUGAUUUUGGAACACUCACUCUGUUUUACCUCACAAAUCACCAGCUACACAGGGGAAAGGCCCAGUCGUACAUUAUUUCUUAUACUUUGAAAUGCCAAAGUUAAAGGCACAGCUUUCAGAAUCAAUCAGAGAGAUAUUUCAGUUUGCUCACUCAGAAAAAAAUUGGGUGUUAUAUCGACCUAAGCACUUUUACACCAGUAUAACUGUGUCUAUACUAGGGGGUCAAGCUGCUAUAGUUAAAGCCCUACAAAAGCUGAGAGUAGACCAGCACAUUUCUCAAAAAGACUUGUUUCACCUGCAGUAUGGAAAGCUAUAACCAACACUGAUCACAUGGGCAACGCUAAGACUAAAGUGACUGCUACUUUUGGCUACUUAGAGACUGAAGAACUGGGGCCUUCAUGCUUUGAACAUGAAUGUUUAAAUUCCUCAUGUGAAAUACAUUAACAACUUUCUUUGCUAUCCACUUGCAUUCUGAUUUAUGUGGAUGCUGAAUUCUCCAGUUCCCAUGAGCGGUCCCUGUCUCAAAUAGACACAAAGGAAUAAGGAUUGAGUGGUUCUAUAAUGUUAGUACAACUCUUUAUGGUCUGUUGUGCACUCUAAAGUUUGCAGGGAUGUCUUGAGGAUGAAAUGAGCCAGGAGAAGAGGUCAGUGGUAUUGUGGGUUUUUUUUUUAUAAACCUGCAGAAACCUUUUAGCCCUGUGCUGUAGAUCACACUAUUGAUUUCUAAAUUGCACAGUUUCAGUUGGGAAACAGAGUAUAAGUUUGGUUCACUGAUUAGAGUAACAUCAAUUAGACGGCAGUAGAGCCAAAUCUUCUUUGCAGCCUAACACCCAUGAGGUAUCCUCAGGAUCAACAGCCAAACCCCUUUUGUUUUCCUGCCCUAUUUAAAUGGGUUUCCUUUGCAAUACCAUCAUUGUGCAGUGGUUAUGACCUCCAAUGCAGUCUUUUCUCCCCAUAGGGAUGCUAUUCAGCAGGAGCUGUUCAAAGUCAUUUGCAAGAGGAUUUUGAUGACCAUGGUAUAACAAGAAGAGUAUAUUCAGCUCUGAGGGGCUUGAUCAUGCACCAGGGAAGUCAAUGUUUAACGGUGAGAGUUAAAACCAUUGGAACACUUUACCAAGGGAAGCAGCUAAUUCAUCAUCAAGUCCAGAUAUCUUCCUAAAAGAUAGGCUUUAGUUCGUGCACAAGUUAUUGGACUUGAUAGCGUUCAUGUACUUAGUAGGGAAGAAUAAUUGAUUCUCCUGCUGGAAUUACAGGGUGAAAUUCUAUGGACUUCAUGAUGAAGGAGAUCAUGCUAGAUGAACCUUUAAGGCUAGGUUUACACUACAAGCUAGGGGUGUGGCUCCCCUGCUCAUUGAGCUAGUGGGCGUAUUAAGAGCAGUGUAGCCAUGGUAGUACAGGUAGCAGUAGUGGCAGCGUAGGCAUGACUUAGCCGUGCCGAGUACAUACCCAGCCUCCGCUGCUACUACCUAUGCUACUGUAGCUACACUAAAUACUCUUGCGAGCUCAAUGAGGGCUAGUGUGAGUAUGUGUACACAAGCAGGGGAAUCAGACCCCUAGCUCAUAGUGUAGACAUAGCCAAAAUAGAUGGGUCAACUAUUCCACUAGCCUAACUCCUUUGACUUCACUGGAGGUAUGCCAGCAGAGAAUUUGGCCCCAAUGGAUCUAUGAAUGUGCUUUUUACAGUUAACUUCAAUAAGAACAGCUUUGGGGCUUUUAUGAAAGAACUGGGGAAUUUUUCAAAAGAGCCUAAGUAAAAUAGGAGCCUAUGCCUCAUUUUCAAAAGUGACUGGCUUAGGAGCCAAAGUUUCACUGGAUGUCAAUGAGAUUUAACUCAUCUUGAAAAAUAGGACUUAGUUGGAUCUUUUUGAAAAUUGGAGCCAUGAUGCUUUAAACAGUUAUAGUAGCUAUUAGAGGUAGAAAUAUUUAAGAGUCGGGGUAUUUACAUUCACACUAAUUCAAUAUCACUUUAAACACAAUCUUUUGUCCAGACAUAAGAUACUCAAGAGCUUCAUUUAACAGAAUUCUACGAGAAAGCACUAUUGUACAAAUACUUCUCCCAAUAUUAGAAUAAAGAGCAGCAGUGCAAGUAGGGUGGCCCGAUCCGGUACACUGUACUAGCAAGAUAUUUAUAGUUGGUACAGUGUACCGGACAGAGGAGCAGAACGUGCAGUGGCCCACGCCUGCAGCACUUCCGGUGCAGCUGUACUGCCCCCAGCCCUUCCACGCAGGGUCUCCUCGGUCCGUAGAGCAGCCCCGCCGGAGGUCAGGGCUGGAGGCGGCCUGGGGGCGGUACAGCUGCGCCAGAGGAGCUGCUGGUGUGGGGCUACCCGGUGGCCCCACAUUCUGCUCCUUUCCCUGCUGUGGUUCCUAGGAGAGCCCUGCGGUUCAGGGCUCUCCCGGGAACCGCAGCGGGGAAAGGAGCAAAGCCCCCACCUCUGCCCCCUGCCCUUCCGUGGAACUGUGUCCCCUCCGGCUCCCAGUAGCAGCUAUGCUGGAGGACAGGGCUGUGGGGGGUGAGGCUGGAGGCAGUACAGCCGCCGGAUGAGCUGCCAUCAUUCUGCUCCUUUUCCCGCUGCAGUUCCUGGGAGAGCCCUGAAUUGCCAGGCUCUCCUGGGAACCGCAGUGGGAAAAGGAGCAGAACAUGGGGCCACAGGGCGGCCCCAUGCCAGCACCUCCUCCGGAGCAGCUGCUGUACCGCCGCCAACCCCAGUCCUGUCCUCCAGCAGGGCUGGCUGCUGAACAAACGGAUGAGACCCUGCAUGGAAGGACUGGGGCAGUACAGCCGCAUCGGCGGAGCUGUGGGCAUGGGGCCACUGGGCGGCCCCACCAUCUGCUUCUCCUGCGGUAAGAGGGUUGGAUCAUGGGGAGGGGAUGGGGGCCCCAGACUGGGGGUGGGUGGAGGGAGGAGUCACAUGAGGAGGUCACGUGCCCCCCGUGGUACCCCUCCCCCCAUACCAGUAAGAAAUGGAUUCCACUUGCAACACUGAUAAAGAGGCAUUAUCAAUCAGCCAGCUUUAUGGCUACAUUGCAAUACAUACAUUGUGCAAUAAAUUAGGUGAAUGUACAUUGCAGGUUAUGCAUUUCAGACACCAUGAUUAGGAUUUUUGAGUGACUGAAAUGAUUGCUUGAUCCUUUUGUGCCUGGAAUAAAUCAGAGGGUUGUCCUUCUCCAUAAAGCGUUAGGAUCAAAAUAAUUUAUCAGGGUUUGGUCACUCUAAAAAAAAUAUAAGUGUUUAUGAGCUGUGUGUCUCCCUGUGAAGGCUGAAAUAUGUUGCAGAAGAAAUUUACUCUUUCUAAAGGAGGAAAAGCAUGGGAAUGCAGUGUAUUUUGGCCUUGAGGAAAUCAGGGAUAAAAAUCAUUUUAAAACAAGAUUUCCAACAUUGUUAGGUACAUGUGCCUUUUCUCAUUGUGUGCAAAGUAGAAACUGAAUGUGCAUGAACUGGUAUUCCUCUUAGAACAAACUUUAAAAAGGGCACUGCAGUCUCUAGGGUUUUUGCCUGUAGAACAAACAGCCUAAUUAGACAAAAUAGAACAUUUCCAUCAGCAAAGAUUAGUGAUUGGGCAGCCCUAGCUGCAGAUUUCAGAUCUUCAUCCAAAUAUAAACUUUCCUCUGAGUUCAAGCAUGUUCACUUCCAGGGCUCUGAUUUGGAAAUAGAGACAAAGUUUAAUCAAACCCCAAACUAAAUCUGCAUAAGAGAAUGUAAUUCUGACCCAUUUGUAUGAUCAGCCAAAUUGUCUCUUGUUAUACAUAAAGGAGAACCCAUUCAAGCAGCUGUGAGUGAUUUACAUAGAAUGUUUGGGAUGCAAACAUUCUAGGAGAGGAAUUAUAAACAAGGUGUUUGUAUACAGCAUACCACCCCAUACACCAAAAUGCACGUGAUUUGUAUUAAAUAGUCUGCAGAUCAUUCUGGUUUGGAGGUUUCUCAUUUUAAACUGUACUUUACAAAACUGUUAUGUGGAUUGAUGUGUUUAAAGACAAUGCAGAAAAUCAAUAUUUCACACAAUGUCAGUCUGUCAUUGAUUUCUUGCAUCUCAAAAAUCAGUAGAGGCUAACUGCUAGCAGCAGCACUGGGAAAUGAGUAUGGUAAAUCUGUAUAAAGAAGCAAGAAGUUCUGUGACUAGAAAUUCAAUAGAGGCUCAGUGUAACGGAGUCCAAUCCUGCCCUCCUUGUGCACUCAAUUAUCUUUCUCUAUCAAUGAGAGUUUUGAGUGCACUGAGACUGUAGGAUCAGGCUCGAUCCAAAGCCCAACGAAGGCAGUAGAAAACACUCCAGUGGAUUUCUGUUUUGGAUCAGGCCCUAAAUGAGUACUCUAAGAAAAACAAAUACAUUCAGAAAGGUCCUGAUAUCCCAGAUACCAUAUAAUUGGCCACCAGAGACUGACCAGCUUUCUCAUCCAUUUCAGUGACUUAGUACCAAAGCCCUUGUCAAUUUAACCAGAUAGUUGCAUAUAUGGCUCUGAAGGGGGAAACAAGUGUUCAAAUGCUUUUAAAUAUAAGUUGUCAGAUUCUCAGCUGGUGUAAAUCAACAUAGCUCUAUUGACUUCAAUGGAGCAACACCAAUUUACACCAGCUGGGGACCUGGCUUCUGAUUCUCAUCUAAUUGAAUUAAACCAAUGGGUUUUAAAAUUAAUUUCCCCCUCUACAGUCCUACCAGUGUGUAAUCGCAGUUUAUACAAAUCUUUCUUCCCUUCCUUGCAUUUACUUUUCUUCUCCAAUCAGUGGAUCAUUGUUGUUGUUUUUAACAUGCUAAUUGCUUUGGGUCUUACAUCAUUUGCUAGGCUGUUGCAGAAGAAGAAUCAGUUUUGACAAUUGAAGGAUUAAGGCUUUUAAGAAAAUAUACUUUAAGGUAUUUGUCACCUAUUUUGAAUAAGCAUUAAUUACUAUGUCCUAAUUAAUAGUAAUACUUCCAUCAAAGAGUUAAUAUGUGUCAAAGAGUCAAUGCACAUUUAUGUUACAUUAGGAACUUUGUUAAAAGGGAAUGUCAUCCUCCAGUCAUGUAGGAUUCCAAUGUAUUUCAGUCUACAAAAUGUAACACUUCAACAAGAUAGCAUAGUUAGAUGAAGGUAGGAGAUUAUACAAAGUAUAAACAGUAAUCCCUAAUACUCUGUAAGUGAGGAUAAACCUUGAGGGAUAGUGUGAUUGAUUACUACUUCCUAACAGUGAAAUUGUUUGAUAACACAUAGAGGCAUCCAUAUCCUAAGUGGCAUCAUGCAGAUAAGUAAGAAAGGGGAGAAGAAAAAAAAAAGGCAG